rnacentral:lncRNA from 1 species
UUUUUCUUCUCUUCCCACCCGAGUUUUUUCUCUCUACACCCAGCAGACUUCCGGCCGUCCUCCCGCCGCCGUCCGACCUCCGUUCGCCGCCGGACCGGUCCCGUUCGGUCGGUCUCCCUCCCAGCUUCCAUUCUAGACCGGUGAGAGGAGCCCUAGCGCCGCCGUGAGUGAGCGGUGCCGCCCGAAAGCUUCGACUGCCGAAUUGGUUUUCUCGCCGGAACUUCCUCCUCCGGCCACCAAUCCGGGCAAGCUUGGUAUGGUUUUGUAGCCCUCCAACCCAGCAACCUUGUCCUAAAAGGACUCACUCCCUCUUGAGCUAGGUAAGGAGAAAUUUGAGGUGGAAGUUUUAUGGUGUUUUUGAUGUUUUUAGUCGAUUGCCCUAGUUAGGCUCGGAAUUGGUGUUUGUGCUAGUUAUGAAAGUUGUAGAGCUUGAUGAGAGGAAGAUGCUGUUAAAAUUUCAUAGGUUUUGGAGGUCGCCGGAAUUGACCUCCGGCCGCCGCUGCCGGCGGAGCCGCCGGCGGCGCCGCCGCCGGUUGGGAGAUUUUAAUGUUGUUAAAUUUGGAAUAUUAAGGGGAGUUUAUUGAAGUGAGUUAUGGAAUUUUUGGAUGAGUUUUGGAUAGGUUUAUGAAUUUCCGAAGUGUGGUAUUUUUGGCGGGUAAUUAAUGUAGAAUCCGGCCGUUGGAUUUAAGUCGUAUUUUGGAGAGGUUGUAUUUACGACUGUUGAGUAUGAUAUUUAAGUUCGGAUUGUUCCGAUGUAAGAAUAUCGAAGUUAGGCAAUAAUGAGCGUAAUUAUGGCUCUCGGGUAAUUUUGCCUAUUUUGAUUAAAUAUUGGAUAUUGGUUGGGAAAUUAAUAUUAUAUUUGGAACAGGACGUGAAGAGGCUCGAGCAGACGAGACCCCAGAUUGACAUCAGGCUUAGGCCUAAUUCGUGAGUGGACUUUUAUUUGAAAUAAUAUGCAUGCUAUGGUUCAUGAUUGAACAUUUCCUUUUGUUGGAGUUUUACCGUCAAUUAAUUUUGACGCUUUUAUUUCUCUGAGAGAGUUACCGAAAAUGGGAUUUUCGGUGAAUAUAAAAUAUGUAUUUAUGAGAGAGUAUGUAUAUAAAAGCUAGCUAGCCAUAUGUGUCUGUCCACCUUAAUGGCGUAGCAUAUAGCCGCAUUAUGGUGUGACGUGAGCGUUGGACGUAAGCGUAGUAGCCCUAUAUGAGUGUUUAAUUCAUAUAGGGGGGUAUGGGCACAUAUUUAUACACCCGUCUGUC